UGAAGUACCUGCAUUGCUAUAUAAUUGAGUUUUUAUUAUAAUUGAUCUUUUAUACAGUCAUCCAUCUAUAAAGCAAUGGCUCUAUGAUAUUUGUGGUAUGCUACGGCGAUGCACAUUUCUGGCCGUAGGGGUACUUGCUGCAAAAUCUGUAUUAUGAAACAUAUAUUUAAACCAUUAUAUGGACAACAGAAGAGUGGCAUUGUGCAAGGAAUAUUAUUGUUUUGGGAUUCUCUCAUAACAAAGACUUGAGAAAUCCUAUACAGUACCUAACCUUGGGUUGUAGAAAAAAAUGUUUACUUACACACUGUAAAAAUGAAAUAUCUCAUGGGGAACAACUCAAGAUUAGAUACUGAAAAGGCAACAAGCUGAGAAAGAAUAGGUAACAUUACCCAAGUGAGACUUGAGAAUAAAAACAAACAUAAAUGACAGAGACAAAAA